rnacentral:rRNA from 1 species
UACGUAGGUGGCAAGCGUUGUCCGGAAUUAUUGGGCGUAAAGCGCGCGCAGGCGGUCCUUUAAGUCUGAUGUGAAAGCCCACGGCUCAACCGUGGAGGGUCAUUGGAAACUGGGGGACUUGAGUACAGGAGAGAAGAGUGGAAUUCCACGUGUAGCGGUGAAAUGCGUAGAGAUCCGGAGGAACCCCAGAGGCGAAGGCGGCGCCCUGGCUCGACACUGACGCUCAGACACGACAGCAUGGGGAGCGAACAGG